rnacentral:rRNA from 1 species
UACGUAGGGGGCAAGCGUUGUCCGGAUUUAUUGGGCGUAAAGAGCGUGUAGGCGGCCAGACAGGUCAGCUGUGAAAACUCGAGGCUCAACCUCGAGACGUCGGUUGAAACCGUCUGGCUAGAGUCCGGAAGAGGAGAGUGGAAUUCCCGGUGUAGCGGUGGAAUGCGCAGAUAUCAGGAGGAACACCGGUGGCGAAGGCGGGUCUCUGGACAGUUCCUGACACUGAGACACGAAGGCCAGGGGAGCAAACGGG